CAGCAGUAGGGAAUUUUCGGCAAUGGGGGGAACCCUGACCGAGCAAUGCCGCGUGAUUGAAGAAGAUCUUCGGAUCGUAAAGAUCUGUUAUUAGGGAAGAAUGGAAUUGAUAGGAAAUGAUCAAUUUAUGACGGUGCCUAAUGAGGAAGCCCCGGCUAACUAUGUGCCAGCAGCCGCGGUAAUACAUAGGGGGCGAGCGUUAUCCGGAAUUAUUGGGCGUAAAGGGUACGUAGGCGGGCCUGCAAGUCUGAUUUGAAAGCACACGGCUUAACCGUGUGAGGUAAUUAGAAACUACAGGUCUAGAGAGUGGUAGAGGUAAAUGGAAUUCCAAGUGGAGCGGUGAAAUGCGUAGAGAUUUGGAGGAACACCAGUGGCGAAGGCGGUUUACUGGGCCACAUCUGACGCUGAUGUACGAAAGCGUGGGGAGCAAACAGGAUUAGAUACCCUGGUAGUCCACGCCGUAAACGAUGAGUGCUAAGUAUCGGUAGAUUCGGUGCUUAAGCUAACGCAGUAAGCACUCCGCCUGGGGAGUACGGUCGCAAGACUGAAACUCAAAGGAAUUGACGGGGACUCGCACAAGCGGUGGAGCAUGCGGUUUAAUUCGAUGCAACGCGAAGAACCUUACCAGGUCUUGACAGUGUAAAGAAUACUUAAGAGAUUAAGGGCUAAGAAUUAAGCUUGCUUAUUUCACUUUAUAAACAGGUGGUGCAUAGUUGUCGUCAGCUCGUGUCGUGAGAUGUUGGGUUAAGUCCCGCAACGAGCGCAACCCUUAUUGCUAGUUGCCAUCAUUAAGUUGGGCACUCUAGCAAGACUGCCGGUGACAAAUCGGAUGAAGGUGGGGAUGACGUCAAAUCAUCAUGCCCCUUAUGACCUGGGCUACACGCGUGCUACAAUGGCUAAUACAAAGAGUUGCAAAACCGUGAGGUAGAGCUAAUCUCAUAAAGUUAGUCUCAGUUCGGAUUGUAGUCUGCAACUCGACUACAUGAAGUUGGAAUCGCUAGUAAUCGUAAAUCAGAAUGUUACGGUGAAUACGUUCUCGAGUCUUGUACACAGCGCCCGUCA
rnacentral:rRNA from 1 species